UACGAAGGGGGCUAGCGUUGCUCGGAAUCACUGGGCGUAAAGCGCACGUAGGCGGUUCUGUAAGUCCCGCGUGAAAUCCCCCGGCUCAACUGGGGAACUGCGCGGUAAACUGCGGGGCUUGAGUUCGGGAGAGGGAAGCGGAAUUCCGGGUGUAGCGGUGAAAUGCGUAGAUAUCCGGAGGAACACCGGUGGCGAAGGCGGCUUCCUGGACCGACACUGACGCUGAGGCGCGAAAGCUAGGGGAGCAAACGGG
rnacentral:rRNA from 1 species